GAGUUUGAUCAUGGCUCAGGACGAACGCUGGCGGCGUGCUUAACACAUGCAAGUCGAACGGUGAAGGGGCCUGCUUUUGUGGGUCCUGGAUGAGUGGCGAACGGGUGAGUAACACGUGAGUAACCUGCCCCCUUCUUCUGGAUAACCGCAUGAAAGUGUGGCUAAUACGGGAUAUUCUGGGUCUGUCGCAUGGUGGGCCUGGGAAAGGUUUUUUCCGGUGGGGGAUGGGCUCGCGGCCUAUCAGCUUGUUGGUGGGGUGAUGGCCUACCAAGGCGGUGACGGGUAGCCGGCCUGAGAGGGUGGACGGUCACACUGGGACUGAGACACGGCCCAGACUCCUACGGGAGGCAGCAGUGGGGAAUAUUGCACAAUGGGCGCAAGCCUGAUGCAGCGACGCCGCGUGAGGGAUGGAGGCCUUCGGGUUGUGAACCUCUUUCGCCAGUGAAGCAGGCCUGCUCCUUUUUUGUGGGUGGGUUGACGGUAGCUGGAUAAGAAGCGCCGGCUAACUACGUGCCAGCAGCCGCGGUAAUACGUAGGGCGCGAGCGUUGUCCGGAAUUAUUGGGCGUAAAGAGCUCGUAGGCGGCUGGUCGCGUCUGUCGUGAAAUCCUCUGGCUUAACUGGGGGCUUGCGGUGGGUACGGGCCGGCUUGAGUGCGGUAGGGGAGGCUGGAACUCCUGGUGUAGCGGUGGAAUGCGCAGAUAUCAGGAAGAACACCGGUGGCGAAGGCGGGUCUCUGGGCCGUUACUGACGCUGAGGAGCGAAAGCGUGGGGAGCGAACAGGAUUAGAUACCCUGGUAGUCCACGCCGUAAACGUUGGGCACUAAGGUGUGGGGGGGCUUUUCCGGGUUUUCCGCGCCGUAGCUAACGCAUUAAGUGCCCCGCCUGGGGAGUACGGCCGCAAGGCUAAAACUCAAAGGAAUUGACGGGGGCCCGCACAAGCGGCGGAGCAUGCGGAUUAAUUCGAUGCAACGCGAAGAACCUUACCAAGGCUUGACAUGUGCCGGUCUGCUCCGGAGACGGGGUUUCCUCCCUUGUGGGGGGUGGUUCACAGGUGGUGCAUGGUUGUCGUCAGCUCGUGUCGUGAGAUGUUGGGUUAAGUCCCGCAACGAGCGCAACCCUUGCCUCGUGUUGCCAGCACGUUGUGGUGGGGACUCGCGGGAGACUGCCGGGGUCAACUCGGAGGAAGGUGGGGAUGACGUCAAAUCAUCAUGCCCCUUAUGUCUUGGGCUUCACGCAUGCUACAAUGGCCGGUACAGAGGGCUGCGAUACCGUGAGGCGGAGCGAAUCCCUUAAAGCCGGUCUCAGUUCGGAUCGGUGUCUGCAACUCGACACCGUGAAGUUGGAGUCGCUAGUAAUCGCAGAUCAGCAACGCUGCGGUGAAUACGUUCUCGGGCCUUGCACACACCGCCCGUC
rnacentral:rRNA from 1 species